UGAAGGGAACUUAUUCAAAUUCAAAGAAAAAACCACAUGGAUAUCCAUAUAAAUUCAUUACAAGCUCAAAGGGAAAGUCUCUAUAUCAUGAAGAAUUUAUAAAAAGGAAUUACAAAAAGGGAUUCACAUCAUGGCCAAGAGACUUCAAAAUACAAAAUCAAAAGAAAAUAUUUGGAAUCCGAAAGAAGAGAAAUCUCCUUGGAAUAUUUGGAGAUAUUGUCUUUAAACAUUACAGACCACUACUUUCAAGGAAAUUCAUUACACUACAAAAAAAUGACAAGUCAACCGCAACCUUAAAAUCUAUUCCCUAG